AAAUUGAAGAGUUUGAUCAUGGCUCAGAUUGAACGCUGGCGGCAGGCCUAACACAUGCAAGUCGAACGGUAACAGGAAGCAGCUUGCUGCUUCGCUGACGAGUGGCGGACGGGUGAGUAAUGUCUGGGAAACUGCCUGAUGGAGGGGGAUAACUACUGGAAACGGUGGCUAAUACCGCAUAACGUCGCAAGACCAAAGAGGGGGACCUUCGGGCCUCUUGCCAUCAGAUGUGCCCAGAUGGGAUUAGCUUGUUGGUGAGGUAACGGCUCACCAAGGCGACGAUCCCUAGCUGGUCUGAGAGGAUGACCAGCCACACUGGAACU
rnacentral:rRNA from 2 species